rnacentral:rRNA from 1 species
CUGGGAGGGAAGCGGAUGGAUGCCUUGGUUGCUCGCAGGAUGUGCGUGGAACGGCCCCUCGGGGCUGGUCCGCGUGUUCAUCCUGCGGGCUCACCAGUGUGGGGGGAGGCAGCGGGACAAAGGUCGGGGCUUGUACCCGGCUGAUGCUGCUGUCUCCCUCCGGGAUACGGGCGGCGCGCCUCUAUGAGGCGGACUUAAACGUCCGGCGUCGCCCGGAUGCUGGUGGCACGGUUCUUCCAUUCGACCCGUCUUGAAACACGGACCAAGGAGUCUAACAUGUAUGCGAGCCUGCGGGUGUAAAACCUUGCUAGGCGUAAGGAAACUGAUCAGUGGGAUCCCCCCGUGGGUGCACCAUUGACCGACCUUGAUCUUAUGUGAAAGGUUCGAGUGAUAGUAUACCUGUUAGGACCCGAAAGAUGGUGAACUAUGCCUGAGCAGGGCGAAGUCAGAGGAAACUCUGAUGGAGGCUCGUAGCGAUACUGACGUGCAAAUCGUUCGUAUGACUUGGGUAUAGGGGCGAAAGACUAAUCGAACCAUCUAGUAGCUGGUUCCCCCUGAAGUUUCCCUCAGGAUAGCUGGAGCUCUCUUCCGAGUUUUGUCAGGUAAAGCGAAUGAUUAGAGGCAUUGGGGGUGAAACACCCUCGACCUAUUCUCAAACUUUAAAUAGGCAAAGUGCUGGG